rnacentral:lncRNA from 1 species
CAUUGACUUUGUAAGUUUCAUAACUUCUAUUUAUAUAAUUGAUAUUGCAUCAUUAUUUGCACUUUGUCAAAUGGGGUCAUCUGAUAUAUCAAAUUAAAGGUCUUAAUAAACUCUGCUUAAAAAUGAAAAUUUUAAACCCCCUUUUCAUCCCAGGGGGACAGGUGGGGUCAUUUAGUGCAAACAUUCAAAUUUCUCAGAUGGUAAGGUUGUCGCAUAUCAAAUGAAAGAACAUAAAGCGUACAUUUCAAAUUUCAAAUUGACGUCUCCCAAAAAUGGGUUGGAUGGGGUCAUUGAGUGCAAAAAAUAAAUGUUCUUUUAAGGUAGGGUUGUUGUAUAUCAAAUGAAAGGUCAUGAUGUGUACAUUUGAAAUAUCAAAUUCCCGACCUUCAAAAAUUUGUUGGAUAGGGUUAUUAAGUGCAAAAAUCAAACUUUUUAAAAUAUGGCGUUGUCGCAUAUCAAAUGAAAGCUCAUCUACCCUGUGUUACAUAUAUCACACUUCCGAUCUCAAAAAUGUAGGCGGAUGAGGUCAUUAAGUGUAAAAAGCGAAAAGUGUCAGAAGGUAUGCUUGUCGUAUAUCAAACGAAAGGUCGUACAAAGAACAUUACGAAAGCAUCACUUCUACAGGAAAGACCUUUCAAUUGUUUUACAAACAAUUGAGAUACUAGUUUUUUUUUUUAAGGUCUUUCCCCUACAUGGGAAAGACCUUAUUGUUUUUCUAAUGUUUUUUUUUCUUUUCUUUUUUUUUUUUUUUUUUUUUUUUUCUUCCAACAUUUUUUUGACAUGCCCGCCUCUUGUUUCUGUUGAAGUUAUUAAGACCAAAUAUGGACCAUCGCUAGAUCUCACCAAGAUGUAUUACCAAAUGACCCUGUUAAGGAUUUCAUCAUCCCCUUUGGAAGUUAUCUCCCUUUUAUUGAUUUUUUUCAACAUGGCCUUCCCUCGUUGGUUUUAAAGAUAUCAUGACUUUAAUUGGACAUAAUGUAGAUCUCAUCAUGAUGUAUUACCAUGUGAGGCUGAAUAGGAUUUCAUCGUCCCCUAUGAGAGUUAUAUCCCCUUGAAACAAUUUCUUUCCUUUGCAUUUUCCUCAAAGAGUGUAAGAGAUAGAAUCGAUUUGAAAACGGCAAC